rnacentral:tRNA from 2 species
GCCAAGGUAGCUCAGUUGGUAGAGCAUCGGUUUUGUAAACCGGCGGUCGCAGGUUCGAUUCCUGUCCUUGGCU